rnacentral:rRNA from 1 species
AUGAUCCCAUCUUACUUGCUGCCCUAUGAUUUUGCUGGCUUAGCUGAGCUUGCAGCACGCAGCAUCUCCUGUGCUGCAUGUGUCCUGUCUGCCCACUGGCCACUUCGAUGGAUGCUCCCUGAUAAAUACUCCCUCUGUAAAGAAAUACUACCUCCGUCCCAUAAUGUAAGAACGUUUUUAUACUACAUUAGUGUAAAAAACGUUCUUGUAUUAUGCGACGGAGGGAGUAUAAGAUCUAAAUACUCCUAUAUUUCUUUACAGAGGGAGUACUCUAUUAUUUUCACUAGUGAACUUGGUCUAAAGCACAUGCAGGACUUUGUUCCAGCCAGAGUCUGA